GAUGAACGCUGGCGGCGUGCCUAAUACAUGCAAGUCGAGCGAACAGACGAGGAGCUUUCUCCUCUUACGUUAGCGGCGGACGGGUGAGUAACACGUGGAUAACCUACCUAUAAGACUGGGAUAACUUCGGGAAACCUGAGCUAAUACCGGAUAAUAUAUUUAACCGCAUGGUUCAAUAGUGUAAGACGGUUUUGCUGUCACUUAUAGAUGGAUCCGCGCCGCAUUAGCUAGUUGGUAAGGUAACGGCUUACCAAGGCAACGAUGGGUAGCCGACCUGAGAGGGUGAUCGGCCACACUGGAACUUAGACACGGUCCAGACUCCUACGGGAGGCAGCAGUAGGGAAUCUUCCGCAAAGGGCGAAAGCCUGACGGAGCAACGCCGCGUGAGUGAUGAAGGUCUUCGGAUCGUAAAACUCUGUUAUUAGGGAAGAACAAAUGUGUAAGUAACUAUGCACGUCUUGACGGUACCUAAUCAGAAAGCCACGGCUAACUACGUG
rnacentral:rRNA from 1 species